AGAAAUAUAAUGAAUCAACAGUGAAAGCUAAAACAUCAGACUGAUCCAGACACUGAAGAAAUUGAUGUCACUGCAAUCUGGCCAAAAUUAUACAACUAUAUUGAAGUAGCCUACUGUAAUGAGCUGCAGAACAACACAGAGACUCUGAGGACAUCAACACAGAAAAUUAAGGCUCCAAAGAGAUGUCUGUCCAGAUGAGGGUGCAUCAACGUUACCUUUGCUGACAAGUAUAUGCUUUACAAUGUAAAACCUAACAGUUAACUUAACUCAAACCAUUUAAGGAAAUCGGUUGCCUUAACCCAUUAAGUUUAAAAAAAAAACAUACAUUUGAGUACUGUGAACUUAAGUCUUGUGCAAUAAUGCACUUAUAUUUAGUUAGUGUGAACUUAAAUAUAAGUGCAUAACUGCAUGUGACUCAAUUUGUUUAAGUUCACAGUACUCAAAUCUAUGUGUUUUAAAACUUAAAUGGUUUAAUGCAACCGGUUUUCUUAAAUGGUUUGAGUUUAGUUAACUUUUAGGUUUUACAGUGAGAAAUUCUUGAAUAAUUUCAAGACAGAGCUCUGCAAUUGUAUCUACACUGCAAAAAAUCAGUUUCUAACUUAGGAUUUUUAUCUUGUUUUUAGUAGAAAAACUAAAAAUUCUUAAAUCAAGAUGUAUUUUCUUGAUGAGCAAAAUUACCUAAGAAAAUGUCUAGUUUUUAGACAAAAAUAUACAAUUUAAGUAAAUUUGUGCCUAAACAAGCAAAAAUAUCUAACAAUGGGGUGAGAAAAUUGUGCUUGAAUUAAGUUUUUAAGAA